UAGAAGAAAUAAUGCUAAAAUUAGUAAUAACAGGGCCCAAAGCCCUCUCCCUGCACAUGUGUAAGUCAGAUCGGACUAACCACUGACAGCUAACGGACCCAAAAAUGAGGGAAAAACAACAUGAAACAGAAAACAAGAAAAUCUUGUAAAACCUACCGUUAACCCAACACAGGAGUGCCCCAAGGAAAGACUAAAAGGAAAAGAAGGAACUCGGCAAACAUAAACCCCGCCUGUUUACCAAAAACAUCGCCUCUUGCUAACAAAAUGUAUUAGAGGUCCCGCCUGCCCUGUGACCACAAAGUUUAACGGCCGCGGUAUCCUGACCGUGCGAAGGUAGCGUAAUCACUUGUCUUUUAAAUGAAGACCUGUAUGAAUGGCAUAACGAGGGUUUUACUGUCUCCUUUUCCCAGUCAAUGAAAUUGAUCUAUCCGUGCAGAAGCGGGUAUAAGAACAUAAGACGAGAAGACCCUAUGGAGCUUUAGGCCAAGGAUCAAACAUGUUAAGAGACCCCAAAAAUCUAUUAGAAUAUCAAAAAGUCACAACAAACCAAAUGUAAACUGAUCUAAGUGCCUUCGGUUGGGGCGACCACGGGGUAAAGAAAAACCCCCACAUGGAACGGAAACAUUCCUAAACUAAGAAAAACAUCUCUAAGUAAUAGAAAAUCUAACCAAAAAUGACCCAGGGCACAAGCCCCUGAUCAAUGAACCAAGUUACCCUAGGGAUAACAGCGCAAUCCUUUCCCAGAGCCCAUAUCGACGAAAGGGUUUACGACCUCGAUGUUGGAUCAGGACAUCCUAAUGGUGCAGCCGCUAUUAAGGGUUCGUUUGUUCAACGAUUAACAGUCCUACGUGAUCUGAGUUCAGACCGGAGUAAUCCAGGUCGGUUUCUAUCUAUGAAAUAACUUCUUCCCAGUACGAAAGGACCGGAAAAAGGGGGCCCAUACUUAAAGCAAGCCCCACCCCUACCUUCUGAAAACAAAUAAAAAAA
rnacentral:rRNA from 1 species